GUCUGGUGCCAGCAGCCGCGGUAAGACGGAGGAUGCAAGCGUUAUCCGGAAUUAUUGGGCGUAAAGCGUCUGCAGGUGGCCAAUCAAGUCUGCUGUUAAAUAUCGGGGCUCAACUCCGAAUCGGCAGUGGAAACUGAUUAGCUAGAGUGCGGUAGGGGUAGAGGGAAUUCCCAGUGUAGCGGUGAAAUGCGUAGAUAUUGGGAAGAACACCAGUGGCGAAGGCGCUCUACUGGGCCGCAACUGACACUGAGGGACGAAAGCUAGGGGAGCGAAUGGGAUUAGAUACCCCAGUAGUCCUAGCUGUAAACGAUGGAUACUAGGUGUUGGCCGUAUCGACCCGGCCAGUAUCGUAGCUAACGCGUUAAGUAUCCCGCCUGGGGAGUACGCACGCAAGUGUGAAACUCAAAGGAAUUGACGGGGGCCCGCACAAGCGGUGGAGUAUGUGGUUUAAUUCGAUGCAACGCGAAGAACCUUACCAGGGUUUGACAUGCCGCGAAUCUAGGGGAGACCUUAGAGUGCCUUCGGGAGCGCGGACACAGGUGGUGCAUGGCCGUUCUU
rnacentral:rRNA from 1 species